CUCAACGCGGGAAAUCUUACCGGGUCCGGACACACUGAGGAUUGACAGAUAUAUACCCGUGAGUACUUCGGUGCUCGCGGGUUGAAAGAUGCUAGUUCUUUCAUGAUUAUGUGAUAGGUGGUGCAUGGCCGUUCUUAGUUCGUGGAGUGAUCUGUCUGCUUAAUUGCGUAUCAAUAAUAGAGACCUAGUAUACGCGUAGACUCAUGCGGUAGUGACCCCCCUUCACAGGGCGCGUGUCGCACGUAUGUUAUACGCACAGGUCUCCGAUAGCAACGAACGUGACCGUACUCUAUUGUUGCAGCGACAAUACCUUUCAACGGGUAUUACCGCUGCUUAGCAAGAUUCGUCUUGCAUUAAACUAUAGAGACCGCUGUUUCUUCUUUAAACCAGAGGAAGGAUACGGCAAUAACAGGUCUGUGAUGCCCUCAGAUGUUCCGGGCUGCACACGUGCUACAAUGAUCAUUGCACUGUGCAUCUAACCCAAUGUGCGCGGACGCCGCCGUGCGUAUAUACUUUAUUGUGUAUGCGUAUCGUGCGUGCGACCGCGCCGAACCUGCUUCGAAAGUAAACAUUUCCAGCGGGUAAUCCAUU
rnacentral:rRNA from 1 species